rnacentral:lncRNA from 1 species
UUUUUUUUUCAAUAACCACGAUGUUCGAGCCAACUUUUGUGCACCAUAAAAUUCAGAUUAGUAUGCCCAUUCAACAUAAAGGUAAGCUGAUCUUUACAAGUUUUGCCAACUUUAACAGGUUCUCAUUCUCCAGCACUCUCAAACGGGUGGCAACCAAUACACUGACAACUGUACUGCAUCCCAACAAAGAGGUAUCAAAU